UGUGUGCUUUAGCUUGUUUGAGAGGAGGAGAAGACUCCCACCGAAACUGCUUUUGACAAAUCACAGUUGAGCCGGGGAGGCAUUUAUCUGCCUGUGUGCAGCUAAACAUGCUGCUUGUGAUAUGGAUACCACAUCAGGACUUCAAAAUGUAAGCAACCAGAGAUAAAAUGGCAGAGACUCAAAGAUGUGGCAGCAGCUUUGAGCACUGAACUGAAAGUAAUUAUGCAGUAAAACCGUUGAAAAUGUCACAUAUCUCCCUGUUUACAUUCUUUCAGGGAGUUGUUGUGAAAGAGCUGUCAUUCGCGAGGACUCGAGAAAAAAAAAGCAGCAGUCUUGAAGCACAAUGAGAAGAAGCAGACCUUUUUGGAGCAGAGAGGGAGAGUCGAUUCCAGAGAUGGAGAGCUCGGUUGGAAAACACUCCGCUGCCUGCUGAUUUUCUCUUAUGUCAGUCAGGAAACCAGCAGACUGCAAUCUGAGGGCACAUGAGGAUACAAAAGGAACAAUGAGACACCCAAAAAGUGCAUCCUGGCGACUAAUUUUCCCUGCGCUUAUUUACACCACGCCUUGUUUCCCUGCUCUCUGACAGCAGCUGUUCAGAGUAAACAUCGACAUGUCAACUACCCCACUAUUUCACCCUACGUUUCUCUGCCGUAAUUAUAUGUAUCAGUUUCUGGGCAGAGAAAUAACUACACAGCACUCCCCACUCCUCAGGAAAUUGUGACAGCAAUCCCUCCUUCCCAGAGUUGAGAGUGUACUGGGGUUAUGGAAGUUAAC
rnacentral:lncRNA from 1 species